rnacentral:rRNA from 1 species
UACGUAGGGGGCUAGCGUUGUCCGGAAUCAUUGGGCGUAAAGAGCGUGUAGGCGGCCCGGUAAGUCCGCUGUAAAAGUCAAAGGCUCAACCUUUGAAUGUCAGUGGAUACUGCCGGGCUAGAGUCCGGGAGGGGCGAGUGGAAUUCCUGGUGUAGCGGUGAAAUGCGCAGAUAUCAGGAAGAACACCGACGGCGAAGGCAGCUCGCUGGGACGGUACUGACCGCUGAGGCGCGAAAGCGUGGGGAGCGAACAGG